rnacentral:rRNA from 1 species
CUCAACUUGAGAGUUUGAUCCUGGCUCAGAACGAACGCUGGCGGCAGGCUUAACACAUGCAAGUCGAACGCCCCGCAAGGGGAGUGGCAGACGGGUGAGUAACGCGUGGGAAUCUACCCAUCUCUGCGGAAUAGCUC